GAGUGUCUAGUUUAAUUUUUUUCUAAAACACUAGGUUGUCACACUAGAAUUACCCAUAGGGGGUGACCCUCU
rnacentral:tRNA from 1 species